rnacentral:rRNA from 1 species
UACGUAGGGGGUAAGCGUUGUCCGAAUUUACUGGGCGUAAAGAGCAUUAAGGCGGUCUUUUAAGUGAGAGGUGAAAGGUUCAGGGCUUAACCCGAACACUGCCUUUCAUACUGGGAGACUUGAGUGCGGGAGAGGCGAGUGGAAUUCCUGGUGUAGCGGUGAAAUGCGUAGAUAUCAGGAGGAACACCCAUGGCGAAGGCAGCUCGCUGGCCUGCAACUGACGCUGUAGUGCGAAAGCGUGGGUAGCAAACAGG